AUGUAACAGCCCGGAAUCUCAGGUAUGGUUAAAAUUAUGUUUUUGGGGUGUUUUAAGAGGGGACUCGGCGAGUUGGAGUCUAGACUCGCCGAGUAGGACCGCAGACCUGGUCGCGGGUUCGCNGAGUAGGAUCGCAGACCUGGUCGCGGGUUCGCGACUGGACUCGACGAGUCCAGAUAUGGACUCGGCGAGUCUGCGCUGUUUAGCGAAAACCCUAACCGUUCAGGUUUGGGACGUAUAAAAGGGACUUAUUGGCCGUCAUUGUUCACUUUAGCCUUCUGAGAGAAACCCUAAAUCGAUUGUGUGCAUCUGGAGCAAGGUUAAAGGCCAUUGGUGAUUUUGAAGGAGUUGUUGUGCAAGGAAGAGAAGGGCUUGGCUAAAGGAACUGCAAGAGAGUCACGUUCUGAGGAUUGGGGACACAGAGAGUACAUCAUCCAGGUAAGAAUUCGAGUAUACUCUGCUAUGGUGAUGUGUUUAGAGGAUUAGGGUUUAUGGAACCCUUUUGUGGAUAGAUUGAAUGUUACCCUAGUCCCCCAAACGAUUGUAACCCUGUAUUGGGACCUUUGGAGGUCCAGAAUGUCCCAUGCCUGUGCAUUUCGGGAAUUGAUGAAGGUUUUGGAUUGGAAUCCUUAUGCCUUAGGUCAAUAUGUAAAUUAUAAGUCUUGGGGUGUAUCAUGAGCACCGAAAUGAGGACCUUA
rnacentral:lncRNA from 1 species